rnacentral:rRNA from 1 species
UACGGGGGGGGGCAAGCGUUGUUCGGAAUUACUGGGCGUAAAGAGCGUGUAGGCGGUCCGGUAAGUCCGCUGUGAAAGUCGGGGGCUCAACCCUCGAAUGCCGGUGGAUACUGUCGGGCUAGAGUACGGAAGAGGCGAGUGGAAUUCCUGGUGUAGCGGUGGAAUGCGCAGAUAUCAGGAGGAACACCCAUAGCGAAGGCAGCUUGCUGGGACGUUACUGACGCUAAGGCGCGAAAGCGUGGGGAGCGAACAGG